AAGCAGUUAGCUAAUAGCCCAGUCCCACAGAGCCCAUCUAAGCGAACAGUUGGGAUAAUUCAGGGAUGGUGGACUGGUCUUCCCGCGGAGCCACCAUACAUCAAGAGUCACAGUGGCUUUUUGAAUGGUUACCUGACCUUUAAAAUAAUGGCUAAUAUCUACUCCGUAUUCAAACUGCUGCUUGGGAAAGCGUUUACCUACCCAGCCCCCCUUCUCCUUCGACCACGCCUCUGGCUUACAGAAACAUAGAUGGCCGCCAUGUCAAUUCAGAUUCAUUCGCGCCAAGACUUUGGAGUUGCACCGACACAAAAUCGGCUUAAUAUCGACUAGAAACGUGCGGUUAAAAACGUUAAUUCCACCAUUAAGGAAUAAUUGGAAAAUUUUUGGCACGGCAAAACCCAACCGAUCAUCUUUUUUAGAGAUGGUGGAUGGUGCUCUCAGGGACUAGGCAAUAAAUAAAAGAAAUUUAAAAAAAUGUAUUUAAAAAUUUUAUGACAAAUUUUUUUAGCGCGUUUUGCUCGUUGGGUUAAAUAGCCUUGAAUGCGUUCACUUGCCCAUUUUGAGAGAGCGGUAGUGAAAACGGCAAACGACUCUGGAGUAGGUCAGGGUUUUAGUUCAGUUGGUGAAAAAAGUCGUGGACGAACGGUCGUGUAAAAAGAAUAGGAGUUCCGUAAUUUAAUUAUUAGAGCUUAGACAACUUGAACCGCCGGGGACCCUUUCGAAAGGGCCCCGGAAAUUUGGAUGACGCGGGAGGGCAAAAUACUUAGCUAACCUGGUCGUUCACCAGCUGCAGCAGCGAUCAGCAUCAUCAGCAGCAUCAGCCGCAGAAGCAGCAGCGAUCAGCAUCAGCAGCAGCAUUAGCCGCAAAAGCAGCAGCGAUCAGCAUCAGCAGUAGCAUCAGCCGCAGAAGCAGCAGCGAUCAGCAGCAGCAUCAGCCGCAGCAGCAUCAGCAGCAGCAUCGGCAGCAGCAGCAGCGUCAGCAGCAGCAGCAUCGGCAGCCUCCAGCAACUGCCUACGAGGCGGCCACAUACGGAGAUUCCCUCGAUGAGUCCGUUCCGGGAACGAAUACCCGCGCUGACUACGUGGUCAUCUCUGGGACCACCGACGCACUGUCUCCGGCUCCUCUGGCGCAAACGCGAGCUACCCUUCGGACCAUUUGGCUCUGUGCGCACUCGCGCCGGUUUUCGCCGCUAGCGGUGUUUUCUUCUUGCUGCAGCUUCGACCAGGCUCGACUAUAACCAUCGUUCAACUCUGCAAUAAAUAAGUUGUAGUUAUUAAUUAAUGAAAUCGUACUUUCAACAUUUUUUCAAAUA